UGCCCUGGGAUGAGGCUCCCCAGCUUAGGGAACAUCGGGGCGACAGAUCCCCGUUCUCUGGAUCCCCGCUAGGGCCUGAGAAUCUGGAUCCUUAGCAAACCCCAGUGCCGGGGCUACAAGGGUCCUCCACUGAACAGCAGGGCCUCAGGUGCUGGCUCCUCCGCCUCCCGACCCCAUCUGCUGCACGGCCUGCCUUUCUACACCUCAUAGACAGCGGCAUCAUUCGGUCGUAUGGGGAGCAUGCCCAUUUGACAGAUGAAGAAACUGAGGCUCAGAAAGGUAAAACAGCCCAGAGCCACCGGAUUUGUGUCAGCACCAGGCUCUAUUGCUUCUGUCAGAUUGGUGUUGGUGCCCUUGGGGUCCCAGGUAGGGGGACGCUGAGGGGUGUGUUUGAACGGCACAGUCAGCCCGUAGCCCGGAGGAUAAGGGGCCUGAAACCCGCUGGAAGCCUUGGCAGCCAGCGCACUGCGUUUCGCCCUGGGAGGAGCAGCUGGUACCAUUAGUCAGAACAAACCACCCGGAGCCAGCCCAGCUCUGGCAGCUGAAUGUGAAUCCCAGUGGGGGAUGACUCAAGGGCCAUUCAUUAGGAAGCCCGAGUCCUCGGUGACCCAGAGCAGGGCUUGGCACCUCCAGGAGCUGCUCACCCAGACAGAGGCCUUCCAACGGGGCGGACUGAGGAUCCGCACCCGGCCUGGGAGGCGGCAGCACCGGGCAGAGGGCUGCCGGAGGCGCUUCCUCCUGUGGCCCUGCCGUCCUGGCCCUGGGUGUUUAAGGAAAGAAGAGCAGGUGUCUGCCCUCGUGGACGGGGACGCAGGUCGUCUCAGCAGCCCCCGGGAGCCGGCCCAGAGAGCCUCUUUAUCAGCUGGUGAACGGGCUGACACCCCGCCCGGUAACUGCACAGUGAACCUCGGGAAGACGGGGAGCAAAGGGGCUUGCACAGCCCACCCCGGGGGAGCAGGGGCAAACGCAGGAGCCCGGACUGCAGGAUUCCACUGGCCUGAACUGGACCGACAGCAGCAGAGAGCAGGUCUCUCAGUAAGAAAAAAGACAACGGGAACGCCUCCAGGAGCAGACCUUAGCGGCUAAGAAGCCCACGUGCCGUGUCACCGGGGAGACGGCCACGAUGGCCCAGGCAGGCAGCUGGGUUUCUGCCACCCACAGGGGAGACUGGACUGCGUCCCCGGCUUCAGCUGGACCCAGUCCUGGUCAUUAGAGACAGCAGGGGGCUGACCCUGCAGGUCAGCAGGUGAGAGCUCCCUCACUUGCCCCGCCCCCCAGUACAUUUGUUACAAAUGUUUCAGAUCACCCUGACUCCUCAGACCACACAGAAAAACCACCUGUCACCUGUCACCGUGGCAGCGGAUGCCCCGAGAGUGCUUCAGAACUCAGCCGGAUACGCUGAACAGUGUUUCCCAGCCUUGUUCUCUCCAACCCCCUCCCCACAGAGUCUUUUUCGACUUCUCCUUCUGGGCUGCUCCCCCCACGCCAGGAAGUUUUAAUGCCAAGGCUGUGCUGAGUGUUUUCCUGUGUACUGUGCCCUGUGGCAGGCCACAGGUGAGGAUAAUAUCUAAGAUUUUUUAAGGCUUUAUUUAUUUAUUUGAGAGGUAGAUUUAGAGAGAGAGAGAAGGAGGGAGGGGGAGGGAGAGAGAGAGGUCUUCCAUCUGCUGGUUCACUCCCAAGU
rnacentral:lncRNA from 1 species